CAAGUAUUAUGUAUGAUUUAAUUUAUUAUGCAUUUGUGUUUUUAUUUCCAUAUUUAUUUCUAUAUGUUUUUGAAUUUUUAUACUCUGUAUGAUAUGAUGGGUAUCGAGUUUUUUCAACAAUUGAUGGCACUUUUGAUGCUACAAUUGAUUCCAAUAGUACAGCCGUUUUUCCUAGCGAGUGAUCGCAAGUGCUAUAUAAACUGAAGGGUCAGACCAAGACAAUCACCAGCCUCUGAUGAAGUGACCCUGCCGAGUCACGAAACGCGUUAGGUUUUAUGGCAGAAGCCGCACGAACAUCCAGAAACCGAGUCCUAGUGGAACGCAGGUUGGGUUAACAAGGUGGAAUGCACGCAAAGAGAAAUUUACCGCUUCCACAACAUCGAGACCUCCCAGCCGGCCAGAGGAAGGUGUUCCACCACUAUUCCAGCGACCACUCAAUUUUGCAGACUCCAAAGGACCCUAUAGUUGCUCCACUCCAUUGCACCUUUGUGAGUGUAUUUUAUCUUUAUAAUAAAUUCGAAAAUAAAUUUUAAUGGAGAGCACUAUGGCUGUUUGUUCUAUAUUUCAGAUCACAGAGAAUACUCUAUCACUAUAAAUCUGUGUCUGUUAUCUAAGAGUGAUUGCCAUUACAAUAUUUGUGUGAGGGGCAAAUAAGGCCGUAUAGGAAAGGGGGAAAUAAGUCGGUUGUGGUGUGCCGGAACCGACGUAGUGGUAAGCCUGUAAUAAAAGGCCUUUCUCUCUCUCUCUCUCUCUCUCUCUCUCUCUCUCUCUCUCUCUCUCUCUCUCUCUCUCUCUCUCUCUCUCUCUCUUUCUCUCUCUCUCUCUCUCUCUCUCUCUCUCUCUCUCUCUUUUGUGUACUUUUUGAGUAAAACAAUAGAAAUUGUACAUUUCCACUAUAUAUACAGCGCUACUGAAUUUGCUGGUGCUAUAUAAAUUAUAAGAUAUAAUUAUCUACUAUAUAACAAAGUGCAUAUUGCAGGGCAGGACUCCUCUUCUCUGUACUGUACAUGGAUCCAUAUAUGUGUGCUAUAAAGUAUUAAUUGUAGUUUGUUCUGUUGAUCUAUUGUUUCUGUACACCAUCUCUACAAGGCGGGAUUUCUUUUCUGUACAAUGUAUUGUAAUACUACAACUCAAGCCCUUAAAAGAACACCAGACUAUUAGAAAUAUAAACCUGUAUUCCUAACCCUUCUGUGCCCCUGUCCCUAGUUCUAUCCAGGCCCACUGCUAUCCCCCCCUCGCUUGUAUUAAAAACAGCUUUAAAAAGAAAAAAGCAUUUUACUCCCCCUUUUCCAGCUGCUCACCUCUGUGUCCUGUGAUGUCAUGGUGAAGGAUGGAGGCAGCAACGGUCCGAUCCAAUACCCCUCAUUGAAGAUCAUUGGCACUCUGAUGCGCAAGCGCGGCGAGCAUUAUGUGCACAUCCAAAAAUCCUCACGGAUAAACAUUGAAUUCAGUGCUUUGAGUCCUAUGCCACGAGGUUUACUCAGCCAGUGGAACGGAAGCACAGCAAAUGGCUGUCUAGAAGAAGCAACUAGAGGUGUGUUUAACCCGGCAAUGUAAACAUUACAAUUUCUAGAAAACUGUAAUAUUUUACAUUGCAGAGUGAAAAUAGCAACCACUGCACUCAGACAGUUUAAUUCAGAUAAAGUGGACUGGGUGACUUUAGUGGUCAUUUAUUUAAGUUUAGGAUUUUAUAGUAAAGUACUAGAACAUUUCUCUCCACUACCACUACUACUGCAAAUCGAGUCUGCUUCUAUAGAGCGUUGGAAGGAUUACAAUACAGGGUCCCUAUCACCUUGUUCUGUAUAAUGCAUGUAUCUGGAUAAAACCGCAAGCUGUACAGAAUACCGAUCUAUCAUUAUUUGCUAAAGUUAGAAUUGUCCAGAAUUCAAAGUGAAUUUCAAGUUUACGGCCAACAUAGAUAAAUCAGGAAAAUGUUCCAGCUAUGCCUCCAGUUACUGAACAUGCAGCUUUCUUUUUCAAUAAACUCCGAUUGGCAUGUUUCCUAUCCCUUUGCAGUGUACCGUAUCUGUCAGGUUCAGUCACUAAAUCAGAAAUUGCAUCGCAUUAUAUAGGGGAUUUAAUGUGUUAAACUAGAAAAAUUAUCUACAGUUUGGCUACUUACUUAUUCUGCUAGUUUUUCCAGAAUGUGAAAAUCCCUUGUCAUUCCCCACUUUAUAGAACAGCACCGUGUUACUGCUGUAGAUCACGAUUUUCCUCGCCCUCUGUAUUUUUUAACAUAAUGCAUCAUUGAGUAUUCUAAUAACUGAAAAUAUGCUGUUUACCUUUUUAUAUAGGUCAGGAAACUGAAUUGACGUUUACAAGAGGUGUCAAUGUUAAUUUACUGAUUAGUCUCAAUGGUUAGAUGUCGAUAGAUUGUAAGCUUUGCGCAACAGCCAUCAAUCUGCCACUUCUCUCUGCUUUAUACGUAGUCUUGGUGUCUGCUGUCACGUGAUUGGAUUACAAUCUCCUUGAACAAGUUAGCAUUAUUGUUUAUUAUUUGAAUUUUAGGCAGCCUUACUCACAAUUACCUGUUGAUGCUCUAAAAGAACACAGUAUAUGUAUAGAGACUAGUUAUUUGCCCAGGGAUAUUCCUUAACAGGAGAAGAUAGGUGAAAUGGAAAAAUCAAUUAAAGUAUUGAUUAUUUCUUUGUGUAUCUGCCCCUGGCCAAAUCAAUGAAACAAUGCGUGCACGCUCCCUGAAGUAAUUCACACCAGACACAGGUUCCAGGUUGUUGAAUAACUUGAGGAAAAGUUUAUUCAGAGGGGACGGCAAGUCCCUUUUAAAGCAAAAUUACAUCAUAAGCAUUGUCAGAGAUAACAUGGAAUAAUACAUCAAUUAUUGGUUAGGUGUUAAGUGGUUGCUUCAAUGCUCUGCCUACUGUAGGUGAUGUCACCGGGGCCAUGAGGGUCUCCCACGGUUUCCCAGCGCCAUCUUGGUGCACGAGGUAGUUAGUCGAUGUUAGGAAGGAGAAAGGGAAGGGGGGGGGGGAAAGGAGCUAGAAGCUUUAGCAGCCAUCUUAAUUAUAACGUGUGUGCUUAGCUAUAUAUAUAUAUAUCGUGAAAUGAGUAAAUAGACAUUUUUCACUAACUAGGAAAUAUGUGUAGACCUUAUUUCCACAACAGUCCCCCCUAAAAUGGCUAUUUACCAUAACAACUGCUACUGUCCCUAAUAUGUCCCUAGUUGCCUGCAACCUAUCUGCCUUAACUAGCAUCGAACACUUCACUCCGCGGGUAACCCGCAGUGGCUAGUCCACUACAUCUCCACACGUGAGACUCGCCAGUAAGACAGACGCUUUCCCUAUACUGUCCCUACAGGAAAGCAGUUGUUUGUUUGAACUGAUGUGAUUGAAGGGGUGUAUGUGGAGUAUCAUCUUCGAGGUCUGUGAUGUCUUGGUGUAUGAAAGUAGGGGUCACGUCAUCUAUAGUCUUGUCUACCGCUUUCUGUAGAUACUUCUGUAUGCAGGGGAAUAUACAACAGGUCAGAAAUAAGAAAAUGACGAUCAUUAUGAGAACAGCUGUCCCCACCUGGAAGAGGGUCCUUUGCCAACCAUUCAUCCAUCCAAACCAUCUGUCCCAAGUGUCGAUGACUCCUGAAUUUUUCUUUAGCUCAUCUGCAAGACUAUCUAGCUUCUCUAUGGCCAUAGUCACCUUACCGUUGGGCCCAGUGUUGUCUGGAAUGUAUGUACAGCAUGUCAUGGUCUCAGGGAGGAUUUUACAUACACCCCCCUUCUCGGCUAAAAUCAUAUCUAGGGCCAUUCUGUUCUGAAAUGUCAUUUGGGUAGUGGCUUGUAAUUGUUCUGCCAGGCCCUGUAGGGCAUCCCUAGUGUAGUUGACAAAACGCUGUUGAUUAUAGUAAAUGUAGUUAAUCCAAUUGACAUUUUUGUUAGCAGUUAUCAUUGGAAUUAGGGACUCAAAUCCUGCAGCCACUUCAUCUCUUGCUUUGAAUUCGUUAGGCACCCCCCUUGGCACACCUAUGGCAUCAAUAUACACAUGGGGGUCGAAACUCCCUCGAAUAGGAGUCUCUCGUUUGGUUCUAGAGUGUACAUGUGUGAGAUUUAAUGUGUUAUGGUCACCAUCUGGGAUGAUAUGGAUAGGCAUUAUAACUUUAGUUAGGGCACACUCCCCCCACCAUUGUCCAAUUAAUUGGGACCUCAACUGUUUAUCCCCACAUAACCAAUAGAUAUCACCGAUUGUCUUUGUGUGAUUCAUUAGCAGUGAUACGGGUGGAUUAUGGUAAGUUGAGCAAUAUCCUGAUGGGAAUUUGCCCAGAUAUAAACCGGUGUUUUUAGAUAUUGUAUAACAUGUGUAAUUACCUGGGUAGAUGGUGACUCCAUCAGGUGGUUUUACAUGUCCGUGAGUGAUCGGGUAAAUUCUCUUCCAUGAUUCACAUGUCGAGGAAUUGGUGACGGACUGUGUGUAAAGGCUCAGAACACAUGAUUCUACUUCAGGAGGCAAAUUCAGAGGAACUGUGCCCAGAUGGGGUCUGGCUCCUCCACACACAUAACAAUUGGUCUUAUUGUGUGAGUUGGCAUUAUACCUCAUCCAUUCCAGCCAUAAAUUAGUGUCUGAGAAACCAGUUUCCACUGCCAUAGUGUCUUCAAAGGUGGGGUUGGCUAUAGCUACCAUGUCAUGUAGGGUCUUAAUAUGUGGUUUUAAUGGGUUAACGAUCAUGUGAGUGGUCCCUACCCAGUCUGGGGAGGUGAGCAUGUCUUGUAGGUAGAAUGUCCCCAGUGCAUUGUGUGAGCCACCUCCCUCCCAGUACAUCCCCAUCACAUAUUCCCCCGCGUCCCUUGGACUAGGGUGUUCUAUAUUCAAGGUAAGUUUGAUGGGAGUUGACCCUGUGGGUUUACUAAGAGUCAUUCUAGAAAGUAGGGGCUUCCCGUCUUUGUCAAGUCUAUCUAGUGCAACCUGAGGUCUGUAGCCCCAUGGUCUACCUGUAUUCCACCCGGCAGCUUUCCAUGAACUACAGUGGUGUCCCCAAGCUCCUCCAGUCACACAAAUGUAUGGGUCCUUUUUGUCAGGUAUGUCCUUGUAUAUGGCUGCAUGUUGUGUCUGUGGGAAUGUACAGGUAACUAUGUCACAAUAAUCAAAGGUGUAUGUAGCUACAUCAGUAUCAGAAGAAUUGUACCAGAAAGUGUAAACAUGAUUAUCUUUGGUUAUGGCCACUUGUUGGGCCCAGGCAAAACGCAGCAAUAUAAGAAAACACGAGACACAUAAUAAAUUCAUGUUUCAACAAGAUCAGCUUCUUCUGGAGCAGGCACUUUUUUGCAAUGUGAAGCGUGUAUCCAGGAACUUUUUCCAGCUAGUUUAACUGACGUUGCUGUAAUCAGGAGCACUUGAUAAGGACCAUCAAAUCUCGGUUCUAGGGUGUGUUUCCUGAGGAACUUCUUAACCAUAACCCAGUCACCAGGGAGCAGCUUGUGUGUACCUGUAUUCGACUCAGGAUCUGGAAUAGAAGAAAACACUUGGGCAUGUAUCUUGGUCAGGGCAUGAGAGAGAGCGGUCACAUAGUCUACCAUAGCAUCUGACUGAAUCUGAAGCUGCUGGGGAAAGUAACAACCCAACCUAGGUGCUGUACCAAACAAAAUCUCAUAGGGUGAUAGGCUGUAUUUUCCCCUAGGUGUGUACCUUACACUAAACAAUGCCAGUGGGAGACUCUCGGGCCAGGGCAUGUUAGUUUCUUGUGACAUCUUGAGCAUUCUGGCUUUCAAAGUGCCAUUCAUGCGUUCUACCUUACCACUACUCUGUGGGUGAUAUGGUGUAUGAAAUGCAAGGGUCACCCCCAGUGCUGACCAGACUUCCCGUGUUAGCGAGGCAGUGAAGGAGGUCCCCUGGUCACUUUCAAUCACUUCUGGGACCCCAUAGCGGCAAACAAUUUCUGUCAGAAGAUACUUGGCUGUAGUCCUCGCGGUGAGGUUAGUCACUGGGAAGGCCUCUGGCCAUCCUGAAAACAUGUCCACUAUGACCAAUGCAUAUUCAUAACGUCCACUUUUUGGCAUCUGAAUGUGAUCAAUCUGAAUCCUCUGGAAGGGAUAUUGUGGCUUGGCUAGGUGAUUAGGUGCAGUCUUUAUAAUCUUUCCAGGAUUGCAUUUAGCACAUAUAGUACAAGAUUUACAGUAGUUCUGUGUUAAGGUAGUGAUGCCUGGUGCUUCAAAAUAUUUGUCAAUCAAUGAGUUCAUCAGAUGUUUUGACAGGUGGGCUGGCCCAUGGGCCCAUUGGACCACCGCUGGAUACAUAUUUCUGGGUAGGCAAAACUUGAGAUUGAUAGUGUAAACAUCAUCACGGAGUAUAGCUCCUUUGCUCUUCCAACUUUGUUUCUCCUGUGGAGUAGCAGCAGCUUGUUGUUCCUUCAGGAGUCUAAGAUCUGUAGGUAAUGUUUGCAUAGUGUAGAUAGGUAAUGUAUCUGCGGCCACUCUUCUGUCCACUUCCCAUCUUUGCCGUGCCGCUUCCUUAGCUGCUUGAUCCGCUAGGUGAUUACCACGUGCUUCUUCUGUGUCUAGUCUUCCAUGGGCUUUUACUUUCAGUACUGCCACUUCUGCUGGAAGCUCCAAUGCAUCCAUCAGCUCUGCAAUGGCUGCCCCAUGCUUUACUGGGGUACCAGUGGCCGUUAGAAAUCCUCUGGUCUUCCAAAUUAGGCCAAAGUCAUGUGCUACUCCCAGGGCAUAUCUUGAAUCCGUAUAAAUGUUGACACGUAACCCUUUAGACAAUUUGCAGGCCGCAGUUAGGGCUGUCAAUUCAGCUUCCUGAGCGGACUUAGUUGGUUGUAGGGCAGCUGCUUGCAAUACUUGGCAUUCUGUGGUGACUGCAUACCCAGUGUGAUAUUGUCCCUGUUCAUCAGCAAAUCUUGACCCAUCCACAAAUAGUGUUUGGUCCGGGUUGAGUAAUGCAGCUUCGUAGACAGUUGGUAGGUGUGUAGUUUCCAUUUUCAUUUGUUCAAAACAAUCAUGAGGGAUAUCGAGGUCACAGUCUGUGAUGAGUGGAUCCUCACAGGCUUCUGUGUGGUAUCUGGGGUACCCAGCUGUACAGUAAUUAAUAGUCUUUUUAUUGACCCCCAUAGCAGUCAGCUGUUCUGGGGUCAUUUGACUCCAGGUUUUGGCCAUCGGGCCUAGAUCUUUCCACGAGAUGUCGGGGGGUUUGGUGACGGAUAUGUGUGGAAUCGAUGUUCCCCAAUGGUGAUAGAGAUGUGUCACACUCUCUGGGAGGUGGACCAAGAUGAGCAUGGUACCUGUGAGGUCCCAAAACAAGUAAGUCAGGGUAAUUUGGAUUUCUUUAAGUUGGAACACUUCUUUCUCAUAGUUCAUAUCAGGGCCUGGUUCAUCCCUAACCCACAAGGUACAGUGAGGUAGGGCCACUGAUUGUUCAUUAUGUGGAGGUGCAAGUGUAGGUAGUUGCAGAUCUGUUAGAACUUCCGGGUUGAUAUCCAGGCUAUACCAGUGGUACACAAUUCCCCCCUUGGGAAGUGGCAGAAGAGUGGCUGGAUUCAGGGUAAGGCAUCUCUGGAGUUUCACAUUGUCAGGUAAAAGCAAUGAGGUUUGCAGGCGGAGGUGGCGUUGGGAGGAAAGGUGCUUAGGUUGGACUUGUUGCAGGAUAGCAGUAAUGUCAUGGGGGGCCAACACUGUGAGGUGAUGGCCUAGAACAAAGUCAUUAGUCUUAUCCAGGAGGGCACUGGCGGCAAACACAGCACGGAGGCAAGAGGGGCUGCCCCUUGCAACAGGGUCAAGCAUGCAGGAAAAGUAGCCAAUAGGCCGUUGUCGGGACCCAUGUUUCUGAGUAAGGACUCCGGAAGCAUGUCCUGAUCUCUCAGAGACAAACAAAUUGAAAGAGAGUUGGUAGUUGGGUAGGCCCAAAGCAGGUGCAGAAGCAAUAGCUCGUUUCAGAGUAUGGAAACAGUUAAUAGUUUCUUCAGUGAGGUGAAAAGGCUCACUCCGGAGUGCAUCAUAGAGAGGCUGCAUGAGUUUGGAUGCUUCAGGUAUCCAGGACCUGCAGUAUGUGAUGAGACCAAAGAAAGCAUGAAGAGAGUGGUGGGUUGCAGGUAAUGGGAGUUGAAGGAUAGCUUGCACCCGUUGAGUGGUUAGGUGUUUGGUGCCAUGGGAAAUGCAAUGUCCCAAGAAGACCACAGAGGGCCGGCACCAUUGCAGCUUCGAUUUUGAGGCCUUGCACCCUGCAGUAACAAGGAAACAUAGGAGAUCUUCUGAGUCACGUUCUGCAAUAAGCAAAUUAGGAGCACAGAGAAGGAGGUCAUCAACAUAUUGAAGUAGAACAACAUCCAGAUGAGAUUUCUGCCAGGGAUCCAAAACUAGAGACAUGGCAUGAGCAAACUGUGUGGGAGAAUUCUGAGCUCCCUGAGGCAUGACAGUCCAGGUAUAUUGUUGUCCUUCAUGUGUGAAGGCGAAGAGAAAACGGCAGGAAGGGUCAAGGGGAACACUGAAAAAGGCAUUAGCUAGAUCCACAACAGUAAAAACAGUUGAAUUUGGUGGCACUUGGGACAAAAGGGUGUGGGGGUUUGGAACAAUAGCAGUGUCUUUAAUGGUUACUUCAUUAACAGCACGGAGGUCCUGUACCAUGCGGUACUGGUCGGGUUGGCCCUUAACAGUUCGCUUUUUAACAGGGAAAAGUGGGGUGUUGCAUGGAGAUGUGCACUUGGUGAGGGCACCUUUGGCAAGCAGAGACUCAACUUGUUUGGUGAUGGCUUCAGCUUGUGCUGGCUUCAGAGGAUACUGAGGUCUACGAGGAGGAAGUGCUCCAGGCAGGAGCUGGACCAGGACGGGGGGUACAUGUAAGCGUCCAAUAUCAUCCGGGCCGGUGGACCAAAGUUCUUGGGGGAUACGAUCCAGAGCACUGGGGGUGUGUGUGACCCGUGCAUUCCCUGUAUUGUCUGUUAGGUUCAGCAGGAUGGGGAGUGAGCAGAGCACAGAAGUAUCUUUUUGUGAUAAGGGGGUUGUUAACUCAACUUGUCCAUCUGCAGUAAAGGUUAUGGAAGCCUGGAGCCGAGAGAGGACAUCGGCACCUAGGAGGUUAAUGGGGCAAGUGGAGGAGACAACAAAACGGGACAGGAUGUGUGAACCUACAUGUAAGAGCUUGGUAAGGGGGUUACUGCGUGGUGUACCAUCCACCCCAACACAGGAUACAUCAGUGUCAGACAGGAAGGAAGGGUCUGGCAGGUCUUGUUCCCUAAGGACACUACGGGCUGCACCUGUGUCAACUAAAAAAGUGGUUGGGUGACCCUCCACGGGGAGAACUACAGUAGCCAAGGGUCCUCCCCCAUCCCCCGCAGACACUGCCAUAGCAGGGGUUGCUGACACAGGCUUGCCAGUUACCUAUUGCAAUAGAUCAAGGUGGGCCUGAUCUGGUCCCUGGUACCGGCGGGAGGUGGAGGGAGGGUUGACAGAAUGCAUGGGUGGGCGGGAUGGACGGAGGGCAUGGCGGGGAUGAGGUUGGUUGUCUUGGAAGUCAUCAGUAUCAUACCCUUCAGUGGAGGGUGAAGUGUAUGCACGGGCCUCUGCUGCGGGGAGCCGGGCUUGGGAGUACUCAGGAGGCGGGGGAGGGGGAGGUGGAGGAGGUAGCUGAGGCAGCUGUGGAUGGGGUAGGGCAGGGAGAUAACCAGUGGAGGGGAAGUUGUAGCUGGUGACAUGGGGGUUAUGGUACCUGACGGUCUGUUGGCGGAGUACUCUAGGGUGUGGGCAAUCUCUCCUAAAGUGACCUGGCUGAUUACAAUUAAAGCAGGUCCGGAUUGUCGUGACAGUCCGGUCACGGGAGAAGGGAAUUGGUGCAGGCAGUGCCUGGGGGGGCUGGGUGAACUGUUGGGGGAGCAUCUGAGAGCCCUGGGUUGGACCUGCGAUUGGGGUGGAGGUAGCAUACAUCAGGGGACUAGUUCUACGCUGUGUAGGGAGCAAAACAGACUCUAAGCCUUUGGCUACCAACAAGAGAGUGUCCAGUGGAAUAAUUCUAUACUCCGGGCGAGCUAAAAUUAAACCCUUACGAAUAUUUUCCCUAAGCCCUGCCACAAAAGCUGCAGACAGCAUCUGGGUGUGUGCUUUGUUAUAAAUACUAAACCCUAAGUCUGAAAAAGUCUGAGUCAACCUAGAGUGAUACUUCUCAACUGUCUCAAGUUUGUCCUGUAGGAUAUCAUUAAUGCAAGUAGCCUGAUCUGCUAGUUUAUCCUGUGCCCAGGCACGAAGCUGUUCACAAAAAAUUUCACCAGAACGAAAGUCAGUAUCAGAAGUAAGUGGAGCAUCAUUAAAGCUCCGUUCCAUGAUUGGCCAGUAUGCAUCACCAGCCUUUAUUUCACAUAGACUAAUGAGAUCCCGCCAAGCAGCGGAAUAUGUUUUUCGGAUCUGAGCCAUCCUACGGAAAAAGGGCAUGGGGUGUUUUUCAGGAUCAGGGAGUGAGGUCACAAGGGUAGCAGCUUGGGAAGGGUUAAAGGUAACAUACAUAGGUGGAGCACCAUCCGCACCAUGGUUGAUUGGGGUAUAUCCCUGAGGGAUAGUUUGCUGUUGGGGGAGCCUAUUCACCCCCAGGUGGGGUGAAUUCAGGUCAACCUCAACUACCUCGGCGGGCAGCACUGGGCCACGACGGAGAGUAGUCUCAGGAGUAGAUGUAGCUGGGACAACAGGGAGGGCGGUGACAGGUGAGGUAGCUGGGUGGAAACCUGAAGCCUGGGGGGAGGCACCCAUCGCAUAGGGCUGGUCAGAUGUCCCUGACACCUCGGAUCCAACCACCAUGAUUGGGUAACUAGGGCCGGCGGAAGGGAUACGAGGGACCAAGGCUGUGGAAGGGGCUGUUACGGGGGCCGAUUGGGUAGGGCGUGAAAGGUGGGUGUUGAGGACAUUUGCGAGGGCGGAGAUGGGAUCGGAGGGCUCGGGGAUUUCGGCAGGAGACAAGGGUGGGGUUGGAGGCUCGGGGGGAGGGGGAGGAGGAAGAGGAGGAACGUCAAUGGGAGGCGGCAUGGGGAUUGCGGAAUUAACCAGGGAAGUAACAGCAGUGAAGAGGGCGGAUAUCGAGCCAGACAGGUCAUCGGUCAUGGGUGUGUCAGAGGUCACGGGGGAGGGGGUCAGAGGGACGGGGUCAGGGGGCUGUGAUAAGGUCGGGGAAACAGGGAUGUCGGGGGGAGAUAACACGGGAAAAGGGGCUGGAGGGGUGGCGGCAUAGGGUUGGGUUAGGGCGGUGAGGGCGGAGAUCAGGGACGGCAAAUCGGCCGCGGGAGUGGGAGGCAACGAGGUAGAGGGGGCCGGGGUUUCAGGAGGAGGUAACACUGGAGGAGGAGCUGGAGGGGUGACGGCAUAGGGUUGGGUUAGGGCGGUGAGGGCGGAGAUCAGGGACGGCAAAUCGGCCGCGGGAGUGGGAGGCAACGAGGUAGAGGGGGCCGGGGUUUCAGGAGGAGGUAACACUGGAGGAGGAGCAGUAGGAGAGACCUUGAGGAUGGGAGGGGAAUCAGUGGGUAAGGGGGCGGAGGCAAGGGAACCGGGACUAGCGGGCUGGACAAGAUUCAUGAGAGUGGAGAGUAGGGGCGGGGGAUCCUUGGAAACGGAGGAGGAGGAGAGGGGAUGAGAAGGAAUGGGGGAAGAUGGGGAUACAGGGAUAGGGGUCACGGGGAUUCCUGAAGAUACUGGAGAAGGGAAGUCAACCGGGGGACAGGGGUCCGGGGAGACGGGGUUGGUUGAGUGGGUAGGAGCGGGGGUCGUAGGACGUAGGAUGGACGAAGAGGGUGAGGGAACGGGGUUUACCAGUGACGGGGUACUCAGAGGGGAGAGGGAUUGAGAGGAGGAGGAGGACGGGACUUCGAUAGUUGAGACGGGAAUAGUCGGGGCAGUACUCGGAGUAAGGACAGGCCCUGGGAAAGGUAACAGGGGGCAUGGAGGUGGGGGAGCUCCGACGGGCGAAACAGGAUGAUGGCUGGAAAAGGGGGUUUGGUCACAGGAGGGUUGGUGCAUGGGAGUGGGUGGGAACGAGUGGUGUGGCACUGGGAAAUAGUAAGCUCCAUCUACACCGAGCACGGGACAUAGGGGGGUGGAGGCUGGAGACACACCCCCGGGGGGUGGGGUCUGUGCUGUGACGGGGGAGGCAGGGCGGGAAGUUACUGUUGCGCUCUGGGCGCCAUCAUAGGGUGGUGGCCGUGGAACAAUAGAAACAACAUCAUCAUUGUGAACAUUCCUAUGGUAAACAUGUACAAUCUGCCCCUCAAACUCCAACUCUUCCUCGACCCAACCUUCCCGUUUCAAACCUCUAGCUACACGAUACCAGGCCUCUGCAACCUUUGUGAGUCCGUUAUCCAACAGUAAACCUUCCUUGUCUAUGAGUAGCUUUCUCCAAAAUUCUGGCUGCAAUCUCCCACUGGGCAGCAUCUGGAAGCCACACACCUUAGCAAUCUUUUUAAGUUUCAUCAUUGCAUCCUCCCCUGCUCUUUCUUUCACAAUGUCGCAAGCCAACAAGCCCUUAGCAGGUCUACCAUGUUCCUGCCCCAUCUUGACUAAUCAAAGCGUGCCACUUGUUAAGGACAGAUGAAUAGAGGAGGUAUAAGGAAGUAGGGGAAAAAGAGUGUCUACAGUGCUCGACUGCCACGAGAACUUGAGCCCCGUGCGUCUUCCCCAAACGUAGACUAGUCACGGAGAUCCGCCCACCCGGGGUGGUGGUCACGGACGGGAGCGAAUGAGCGUGGGCGACUAACACAGCUCUGGGCAACAGGCACAGGAGAGAUAAAGCACAAAAGAAAAGAUGAACGUGGCUGCACUAAUGAGAAGACAUUUGCAAAAAUCACAAACAUAUAAAUGAGCAUAAACUCCGGAGUCCAGAACUAACCACACAAUACACACACACACCAAGGGUACCCACGCUGUAACAACAAUUGAACAAAAACCACAGAAUAACAGAGAGUAAAAUGGCCAUGUACAUGUUAAUGACACCGGUGCCAAAUAAUCGAAGUAUAGCUAUCCUCAGCCUCCACCCACCAGGCUGGUCCCGGUAUAACCCAGGUAUUAAUGGGAGCACAGUAAUAAACAAACAAAAUCCCAGCCCCACCGGCUGUAAUGCAUUCCCUGCCCGCUAGGCAGUCAAGCUAACUUAAAAUCCCAGCCCCACCGGCUGUAAAGUCCCAGCCCCACCGGCUGUAAAAUCCCAGCCCCACCGGCUGUAAAGUCCCAGCCCCACCGGCUGUAAAAUCCCAGCCCCACCGGCUGUAAAGUCCCAGCCCCACCGGCUGUAAAGUCCCAGCCCGACCGGCUGUAAUGCGUCCCCUGCCCGCUAGGCAGUCAAGCAAACUUAAAAUCCCAGCCCCACCGGCUGUAAUGCGUCCCCUGCCCGCUAGACAGUCAAGCUAACUUAAAAGAAGUAUGAGAAACACGCACCCACACAUACAAACGAAUACAGGAGGCAGAUAGACAAUUGACAGGUUCACCUUAAAAAGGCACACCGGAUGAGUUAAUUACCUGUCUCUAGUAGCCUUCUGGAAGCCGGAAGUGGACUCGGAGGCAGACCGACACAAAACAGGAGAAUAACACAGGCAACGGCUGUAUUAUGGGGGUGAUCAGGCUCCGCUUGUCCCACUUUCCAGAGGUCCGCUCCGGUCCGUUGGUUCCGGCCCUCCGAACCGGCCCUCCGGUGGCCCCACGUUGGGCGCCAAUUGAAAUGGAAAAAUCAAUUAAAGUAUUGAUUAUUUCUUUGUGUAUCUGCCCCUGGCCAAAUCAAUGAAACAAUGCGUGCACGCUCCCUGAAGUAAUUCACACCAGACACAGGUUCCAGGUUGUUGAAUAACUUGAGGAAAAGUUUAUUCAGAGGGGACGGCAAGUCCCUUUUAAAGCAAAAUUACAUCAUAAGCAUUGUCAGAGAUAACAUGGAAUAAUACAUCAAUUAUUGGUUAGGUGUUAAGUGGUUGCUUCAAUGCUCUGCCUACUGUAGGUGAUGUCACCGGGGCCAUGAGGGUCUCCCACGGUUUCCCAGCGCCAUCUUGGUGCACGAGGUAGUUAGUCGAUGUUAGGAAGGAGAAAGGGAAGGGGGGGGGGGAAAGGAGCUAGAAGCUUUUAGCAGCCAUCUUAAUUAUAACGUGUGUGCUUAGCUAUAUAUAUAUAUAUCGUGAAAUGAGUAAAUAGACAUUUUUCACUAACUAGGAAAUAUGUGUAGACCUUAUUUCCACAACAGUAGGUACAAAGCCUCUGUUGCAGGAUUGUGAAUACAUCCUCUAUAAUGUGAUUAGGCAAAUUUAAAAAUGCCAUCCAUCGGAGCAGCAAUGGUUUAAAUAUAAUAUAUCAUAUUACGGUACAAUAUAGUAUUAAUUAUGAUAUAGUACUGUAGAAUAUUUCUAUAUGUAAAAAUAUAGUGUAAAUCAACAUGUGAAAGACAUCUUCAAAGCAAAAAUAGCUAAAUAUUCAGAUAAUAUUUCUAGCUUGGUCUUGUUUGAAUUUCCCUUAUUAAUUCUACACAAUUCAUGGUUUAGUUAACAAACCCCAUCUUCAGUAAAAGGUGACACUUGGUUACCUUAUGUAAAGGGGACAUUGUCAUUACAGAGACAAUUUUGUGUUUUGUAACAUUUAAUUUAGCAUGGCUAAGCAAUCAAGGGAUCAGCCUGUGUUUUGCUCCUUCAAACAAUCAGUUUAAGAAGCUCCUUUGUCUUGUGUUGAAAAUGCAAUGCGGAACGUGUACUAGAACAUUGUGUGGGGUGUGAGUCUGGAGAGGAGGGGAGAAUGUUAAAUAUAGAACAAAGCACUCUAUGAAGUGUUUAUAUAAUGCAGGGGAUGGGAGUUGAUAUGUUUAAUUAGAACAUAAACAAUAACAUGGCUUGUCAUAUACUCACGUACAAGGGAUGUCUAACCCCUAGAAUGCAAGUAAGUACUGUGUUCAUUACACAUUAGGGUCACAACACUAUUAUACACUGCACUUUGUGUAUAUUUUACAGAGGUGAGGGAAAAACAGCAAAACUUUCAGAAUGGAUCAGUAUACUUUAAUAUCUCCUAAAAUCAGUGCUGUAUUUUCAGUGAGGCUAACAAGGCAUUUGCCAUGGGCAGCACUUUCCAGGCGAAACCUAAAUGCCCCAGGAGAUGCCUUGUUAGUCUUGUUUCAUGUGGGGCCCAAGAGCGGGCGGGCUGGCGAUGUCUAUUUUAGCCAGGUGGUGAGAGCGUUGUCCUCUGUGCUCUUCUUGCUCACCUAGCUUGUGCAUUCUGCUGUGAUGCCAGGAUAGGCUUCGGCAUCGCGGCAGGGAGCAGAGCAAGAAUAUUGCGCUCCCACCUGCCUGCCGAGCAGCUACACUGAACCCCAGGGAAAUAAUCCCUUCCAGCUCUCCCAAAGACAGGGAGACUGGUGGAUUUAAACUAAUUUAAAAAUAAAUACAUUUGUGAGUGUAUGAGAAAAUGUCUGUCAAAAUCAGUAUGUGUCUGUCAGCGAGUGCAUGUGUCUGUCAGUGAGUGUGUGUGUCUGUUAGUGAGUGUGUGUGUCUGUUAGUGAGUGUGUGUCUUUCAGUGAAUUGUGUCUGAGUGUGUAUGUGUGAUGCAUGCAUCAGUGAGGGUGUGGGUCAGUCAGUCAAAGCGUGUGUUGGUCUUAAAGGAAGAAACUUAAAUUAUGUGGGUGCCCGAGUUUCGUCAUGCCUAGAGCAGCACAAAUCCAAAAUUCACCACUGCCUAAAAUGUAAUCCUAGCGUCAUCUAAAUCUUAACUGAAAAGAAAAUUAAACUAGCAACAUAAAAAAUUACCACUUUUUCAUGUCUUUAUUGAACUCAUUCAUCCAACAUCCAUUGUUUUUGUUGAGUAAAGUAUGUAGAUGUCUAAAGUAUGUAGAUGUCUAGAGAUAAUCAGAGAGAAUUCUGAGCAUAUCAUUAAACGUUAUCAGAGAUUAUAGCCUUCAUUUAGUUUUAAUCAACCUCGUAAUUCAGCCUCGUAGCCUACCAGAAGCCAGGGGUUUUCAAGCCGCACACUGCUCGCCUGGAGACAGGAGUGCUUGAGCCGCAUGCGGCUCCAUCGGAGGACCUCUGCCGGCACGCGGACAGGGUAAGUACCGUUACAAGUACAACUCGGUGAGGAACAUUGGAUAGGGCCACAGCCUUUGUGCAGGAAAAGGUAAGUAAAACCUUUAUUUUAUUAAUUUUAUUGGAAAAGUUUGUAUUCCUAAAGCUAUAAUGUUCCUUUAAAAUUCCCUUUGAAUUCCUGGCCAUUCUCACUUUUGUGAAUAAUUCUGAUAGAUGCUUUCUACCAUUUAAGCCAUGUAUCUUUCUGUCUCUUUCAAAGCUGCCAUUGACCCCCCAAUUUGGCCUUCGCCAGAUGUCCUCAUCACCAGUUUUCCUUAGAAGGCCUUCUCUGAUUGCAAUUUGUUUUGAGGAUUUUAUGACAUACAAGGGGAACAUCACAGCUUGAAUUUUUUUUAUUUAUUCCCCUCCCAUACUAACUGAGCUCUUUUAAUUCAUCUAUCCUAUAUUUGUUUUAAAAUUGCAGUGAGCAUUUCCCAUGACACAUACUAAGAUAUACAGCAAUUCCUGAGCCAUGUAAGACAUUAUCAAGUAACUAUGCAUCCAGUUAUGUCUUAAAUUUUGAAAUUCACUUUGAAUUUAUUUUCAACUCCUGGCAAUUCUCAUGUUAGUAAAUAACCCUGCACUAUCACCUGGACAAAAUGAACAACUGCUACAUAGACAAUUUAUGUGAUGGAAGAGAGAUGUGUAGAAUGUGUCUCUGCAUAUAUAUGCGCCUGUGUGUUAGCACGUCUGUCUACCCUUGUUGAUUGACCAUGACAUCAGAUUGGUGGACUAGAUGUUCAAAUCUGCUUUCUAAAAUAAAAGUGGCAUGUUUUUUAUGAUAUCUACACUUUAUUCCAGUAAAAGGAGAAAGUAAUGCAUCUGUCUUUAAUGGGCAUUGAAACAAGCUUUGUUGUUUCCAAGAAAUGGAGAUGUGUAAUUUUAAACCUCAUUUACUGAAACGAAUGGUAAAUCUAAAAACAUUGCACUUUAAAUGGAACAAUAUAUAUAUACGUGAAUGAACUUAUGCCGGUAGAUUUAAUCAGUAGGGCCAAAAUGUGUUUACUUUUCUAGCAAUAAUUGUCUCUCCCGGGUUAUAACAAUUCAAUUAUACCCCGGUAAACUGAUGCAGGAAAAAUCAAUUGUCCUUGUUGUAGAAAAGGAAUCCCAGCCCUCUAAUAUCUAAAAAAUUUUUUUAGAUCAAAUACGACCUUUUAAAAGUCAAUCAUAAUAAUACUCUGAAUAGUUGAACUGGAGUGGCUUGUUUUUUCAUCAUGUGAGCUAUUUAAGCUAAUUAAGAAGUUUUUCUACACACAGACACACAUUGCACAGCAGUGAGUGUGUUACCGUGGAUGCCUUGCCAAGUGGAUGCUGUUUGCUGGCAGCUGUUAGCUCAGGAAACACCCGCCAGACCUUGGAUAGAAGAUGCUUCCUGUAUUGUAUUGUGAUUGGAGACGCCAGACUCGGAGGGGGCGACAGACUAUAAACACGCAGGGAUACUCCUUCACUUACCGCCUCUAGGACACUGUGUUCCAAAAUAAUAUAUAAAAAGCCUUGUACCUCUAGGAUUGUGCAGCACCGCAGAAAAAUUCCCAAUUUUAGGCAAUUUAUAAGGCAGGAUGGUUUACACAAUGGCACAAUGACCAUUAAUAUUCAGAAGGUGUCCAGUCUUGUUUCACCAGUUGUUAAUGGAUUCAGAUCAUUCUAAAGAACUUUCUGCUAGUCAGAAGCUGGAGCAACAAGUUGGAAAAUCCUUGUUCUAUAGCAAGGUUAAAUUGUAUUUUUAUUAUUAUAUAUGUACUAGUUUAAGCUCGAGUCUAGAUAGAACUAGAACAGAUAAUGCCGAUGUUCUAUGGUAUUAUUUUAUUAUAUUGUGUAUGUGUGUAUAUAUAUAUAUAUAUAUAUAUAUAUGUGUGUGUGUGUGUGUGUGUGUGUGUAUAUAUAUAUAUAUAUAUAUAUAUAAUAAAUUCCUAUGUUAUUCUUUUCCUGGAGCUGGGAUUGUGUUGUGGGAGGUGAUGAGGUGAGAUUGUGUAUGUUAGUGAGUUUGCGUGUUUUGUGGUGGGUGUGUAGCUAUGUUACUAAGGUGUGCGUUACUGCGCUCGUUUGAGCUGCAUAUGAAGCUAUCUCUGUGGCUAUAGCAAUGAAACAAUUGGGUCUGUGUUUGUGUGUUUAAUCACCAGUGAAUGAGGGCAGAGUGGUUAUUAUGUUGUGAUAACAUUCAUUGAUUGCCCUUAGUUCUGCUUUAAAACCAUUGUAUGUUUUGACUCAUACUACAUGAACUACUGUUGAUGCAGCCUUUUUUUUUUUACUUGCUCUCACUUAUUAACUGCAUAGGAAUUGUACCAAACGUGUGAUUUUUUUUUUGUUUCUAAAAAGUGUCCAAACUAGCUAUGUUUUAAGUUCUGCUAUUUUGGCUUAAAAUUUUUAACUCUUCGUUUUCCUGACAAUACACACUUUAUUGAAUACCCCUGCAAAUAUAGAAUAACAUUGAUGACAUUUUUUUUGUAUGUUUUUUUUUUUUUAGCAUUUGUCUAUUUGUGUUAGAGAUAUCCUUUUACAGAGUGUUGCUGCAUUUUAAAGGGCAAGGAGGGGGUUUAUAAAUUGAGAAUCCUUUUUCAUUUAUUAUGGUUGUUGCUUGCUACCUGGCAGCCAUCUUGUUUCUCCUGUGAAUCUUUUUUUAUUUAUUUGUUUGGUAGCAGUUAUGCUAGUUAGGUGUCUCUAUGAACGUUUAUAUAUGCAUUAAAAACUUUUAUUGGAGAGUUAUUCCGAUCUACUUGGAAAGGACACUGGUGACCUCACCCCAGGGGUAUCUGCAUUAGAUUACUACUGCUGGGCAGAGGCCUGCUCAGGUUACUGAUCGUAAAAUCAGCGUACAGAGACUAUAUACCAUGUAGGGCCAAUGCACAGCUUACAUAUCUCUCUGUGUUAUAGUUAUGGGAACAUAUAAGGAGGAUUAAGUAGUUUAGUUAAGGACUUUAUUAACUAGGUGGAUCUGCUGGUCAAUGCAGCAUGGUCUUUAUUUUGUGGAACUAUAUUAGUCACCCCAAUGAUGUGUCACACACAUACAGGCCCCCCGUCAUGCCCAUUCAUCCAUGUAUAGUGUGUGGGUUUGUAUAUAAGGGUGUAGUUUUUGUAUACAGGAUUAACUAAAAUUAACAAUUUACAUGAAAAUAUUCCUGCCUCCAUCCCUGUAGUUACCUUGUUGGGAGAGGUUACAGGCAGACAGUCACACACACACAGUUUCAGUCACACACAGGCAGACAGUCACACACAGUGUCAGUCUCUCACACACACACACACCGCAGACAGUCACACACACAGUUUCAGUCUCUCACACACACACACACAGUUUCAGUCUUCGGUCACACAGAGGUAGAAAGUCACACACACACACACACACAGUUUCAGUUACACACAGUGACACUGCUCUGUAGGCCCUCCUGCCAUGUUUUGGCUUUCUUUUGCCAUGGUGCUCUUUGCGCCCGCACAGCUCGACCACCCCUAAGGCCAGCCCUGCGCACGUAUACAUAAAUGGCUAGUGGAGGGUCUAGUUUAUAUAUACUACAUAUUAGGGUAAGUGCACUGUGGCUUUAUGGCUUUUGCACAUCAAGUGUGAUGGAAUUUCGGUGAAAUGUAAAUUUAGUAGGCCGAGAUUUCCACGUGGCAUAUGUGUAUGUUGUAUCAGUUAGUUAGUUACACGUAGCUAAGAUACUGUCAUCAAUGUACUGAGCAUGUGCAGGAAUGCAGGAACUGAAAUCACACUCCUUUCUCCUUUGUUUCGGAUGAGCCAUGUGGUCUGCCCAUAUGAGGAAAUCCAAAUCCUGUCCACUGAUUGGUUAAGGGUAUGUGCGGGUGGAGAUAUUAAUGGGAGUAGUUAUAGUUCUAUAAAAAGCAUGUACUCCGUGUGUUCGCCCCUCAGACCUGUUUUGGAACGUUAGUUCAUCUGAGGCCCGAUCGGUAUGUUAAUAAAGACCUCUUACUUCCUGAAAACCUGCAUCCAUCUCUCUGUGUCUGGCUUCUGCAAGUUUACUCGGUUACACAAGGAAGGGACAGUGGUCCCGAAACAUUUGUCUUUCAUAUACUCUUUAACUAAAAGUAUGGUUCCUAUUUACUAAGCUGCAUAUUGUGCUACCUCCUGUUUUUGCAUGUAUACCUAAAUCCGGUGUUGUCAGGUUCUUCUAAGCCUGACAAUAGUCAUAUGGAACCUCAUGUACUCCUCUGGUGACCAAACAAAACUGCCAACAUGUUGCUGAGUAGAUUGAAAUAGAUUCGGGCAAAGGCAUGAGUUGUAACAACACCCAUUUUAAUGUAAUGCAGAUAUUUCUAUGUAGGAUAACCUUGAGGCUUCCCUUAAAGGAAGCAAAAGGAAACUCUAAUUAGAAAAUUACAUUUGUGAAAAAAUUACAUUCGACUUUAUGUUAAUACAUGAUCUGAAUACCUAUCAUGCUUGGCUUACAGAGGAUUCAUGCCAUGAAAGUGCACAGCCCAGAUUACAUGCCUUGGA